rnacentral:rRNA from 1 species
GAUGAACGCUGGCGGCGUGCCUAAUACAUGCAAGUCGAGCGAACGGACGAGAAGCUUGCUUCUCUGAUGUUAGCGGCGGACGGGUGAGUAACACGUGGAUAACCUACCUAUAAGACUGGGAUAACUUCGGGAAACCGGAGCUAAUACCGGAUGAUAUUUUGAACCGCAUGGUUCAAAAGUGAAAGACGGUCUUGCUGUCACUUAUAGAUGGAUCCGCGCUGCAUUAGCUAGUUGGUAAGGUAACGGCUUACCAAGGCAACGAUGCAUAGCCGACCUGAGAGGGGGAUCGGCCACACUGGAACUGAGACACGGUCCAGACUCCUACGGGAGGCAGCAGUAGGGAAUCUUCCGCAAUGGGCGAAAGCCUGACGGAGCAACGCCGCGUGAGUGAUGAAGGUCUUCGGAUCGUAAAACGCUGUUAUUAGGGAAGAACAUAUGUGUAAGUAACUGUGCACAUCUUGACGGGACCUAAUCAGAAAGCCACGGCGAACUACGG